rnacentral:rRNA from 1 species
GACGAACCGUGCGAACGUUGUUCGGAAUCACUGGGCUUAAAGGGCGCGUAGGCGGGCCGGACGGUCCGCGGUGAAAUCCCCCCGCUCAACGGGGGAACGGCCGCGGAUACCGCCGGCCUCGAGGGGGGUAGGGGCGAGCGGAACGCUGGGUGGAGCGGUGAAAUGCGUUGAUAUCCGAAGGAACGCCGGUGGCGAAAGCGACGGGCUGGAUCUCUUCUGACGCUGAGGCGCGAAAGCCAGGGGAGCAAACGGG